CGAUGAUCGAGCACGACGCGCCCGGUUAAACGUUUCCGGAUCGGAUUCGCCAAUUUUGGCUUGGACCUCCAUUGGGCUCAUGCGCGCGUGGGCUACCUACUUUCUUUGCUUCACCAAGUUAGAAAGGCUGAAUACUACAUAAAGACCUUUUAAGUUUUAUCUCUUUCCAAUGUGGGACUAAAGGAAGUACACUAAACAAAAAGGCAAAAAGCAAAGAAGGGCAGAAUUG
rnacentral:lncRNA from 1 species